rnacentral:lncRNA from 1 species
AAUAGAGAGAUUGAAAUUUUGGAAGACGGAGAGGAAGGAAGAGAAUUGGCGAGGAAGGUUUGCUCAAGGCUUCAUAUAUAUAUAUAUAUAUAUAUGCAGUGGCGAAGCCAGGAAUUCUCUGGAGGAGGGGCGAAAUUUAAAAAAUUUAGGGUCCACAAAAAAUGUGAACAUUCAUUUGAGGUUUAAGUCUAGGAUUUGCAAGAAGAUUAUUUGAACUACCCGUAGGAGAAUUUGCACUAACCGAAAUAUUCAAAAGAGGAUUUGGACUAUUCAAAAUAGUCGAAGGAGGGUUUGAACAACAAUAUUAUUUGAAGGAUGAUUUAGCACUGUUUCUCGUUGUAUCGUCCUAUUACUUAAUUGUAUAAUUAGCAAAGUUUUAAAAGAUGCUAAGCUCUAAUCAGGCAAUGAACAUGACUUUACACUUAGGCGAGGGCGUAGGCAAAUUUGAAUAAAUUUAUUAUAUACCGUAUAAAUAAUUGUCUAUUUAUUAUAUAGCUUAUAAUAUCCAAAAAAUAUUUAUUAUAAAACAUAUAAUAUAUAAAAAUAUUGACAAAUUUUCUUUAUUACUUUGUUGAAUUUGAUGGGAAGAGAAAGAAAUAAAAUAAUGAGGAGUUCGUAAUAUUUUACAAAUUAUUUUUUGAAGCUCGUAUAAAUUUAUAAUGAAUUUUAAGAUAAAUAAUAGUGUCAAACAAAUGGCUUAAAAAAUAUUAAAAGAGUGGUCAAAUAAAAAUCUGACAAUAAUUAAAAAAUAAAACAAAGCAAGUUAGGUGGUGCCAAUUGAUUGGCCAAUAUUUAAAAAAAAAACAAAUUGUAAUUAAGAAAGGUCACGUGGGGUGGGAUGGGAGAGAGAGAAAGUCUCUCUCUUCUUCCUUUCUCUUCUUCUUCAUUAGAACCAGAGUUCCAUAACUUAUUUUCCAUUCUCCUGAAACUGCAAAAUGUUCGUUCCUCCUUUCUUUGGCCUAUGUUUUUUUUUUUGUGGAAAAUAAGAGAGCACGCGAUCAGCCUGUGCUGGGAUAGAGCAGGGACAUCCAAAAGGCCGAAAACCAUACGGAAUUUCAUCACAUUCGACGAGACCGGAGGGGCGGAACCACCACUCCUGGGCUUGAUUUCCAGCGAGGGG